rfam:Wallemia sebi CBS 633.66 unplaced genomic scaffold WALSEscaffold_2, whole genome shotgun sequence.
AUCCUUUUGCUCGGACUAGAACUCAUGGCGUUGAGGUGAAAACCGAGCCUGAGUACGUUGCUGGUUGAAAUCUAAUCCAACUACGCGUGCUGUACGUCCUCUGGACUGCAGCCAAUUUUUGACCAUCCACGUCGCACUUGUG